GGCCACGGGCUCUUGUGGGUUAAGCGAUCGGCUUCGAACCUGGGAGUCGGGGGUUCGAAUCCCUCCGGGCACGCCA
rnacentral:tRNA from 1 species